rnacentral:rRNA from 1 species
UAGAAAUGUAAUUAAAUAGACUAAAUAAUUAAUAGUUAAGUUCUUUAAAGUUAAAAGAAAUGGCGGUAUUUUAGUCUUUUCAGAGGAAUCUGCCCUUUAAUUGAUACUCCACGAUAAAAAAUACUUUUUUAAAUAAUUUACAUAUCAUUGUUAAAAAUAUUUUUAUUGAAUUUAAUAUUUAAGAAUUAUAAUUUUAAAAUAAAUCAGAUCAAGGUGUAGUUUAUAAAGAAGUUUGAGGUGGAUUACAUUUAAUUUAUUAAUGAAUUAAUAAAUUUUAAGUUUUUAUGAAAUUGGAUUUGAAAGUAAUUAUGUUUUUAUUUAAUAUAAUGAUUAAGCUCUAAAAUAUGU